CGCAUUUGGCUAAUCUAUCACCAUACUCCGGAGAACCUGAUGAAUAUCUAGCUUUUAAAACGGUAGCGCUUUAUAUUCUAGACUUAUACUCGGGCGAAUUUGAGACUGAUAAGGAGAGAGUCGCUUAUCUAAUCAGUUUGCUGGAAGGGAACGCUAAAUUAUGGACUAUUCCUCUUAUGGCAAGCCAGCACAGUGCACUCUCAAACCUGGAGGAGUUUUUGCAAAUGAUGGAUAGUAUGUUCCAAAAUCCCCUGCAGAAUGCUAUGGACGAGCAGCAACUGCUGAACCUACGUCAGGGCAGUGACUCAGUCUCUACUUAUUGGACUUCGUUCAUCUUGUUGGUGCAGAAGCUUGGGUGGCAGGCAGACAGUCCGCCUUUGGCCGCUUUGUACCGAGCUGGGUUGAAUGGAUCUAUCUUGGAUGAAUUGUCAAGAAUGGCGCCCCUUGAAUCUUUGGAAGAUUUAGUACGAGCUUCUCUGCAAAUUGGCGUGAGGCAGCAGCAGAGGGCGUUGGAGAAGAGGGGGCAAGGGCGGCCAAUGUUUGUGAGAAGCCACAUUCCUAGCAUGCCAGGAAAGAGAGUUGGCAGUACAUCCAGACAGGAAGAUGCUCCUGAACCAAUGCAGCUGGGCUCAGCAGGGAGGGUGACUCCUGAAGCUGCAUGGAUGGAUGGAGGCAGACGCUGCAGAGAGACUCGCCGUUGCUUUGCAUGUGGCAAACCAGGACAUUUGGCAAGACAGUGCCCAAGCAAAAAGGCAGGGGGUUCUCUGUCUAGGCCUGUGUAGAGGGAGGACCAAAGCCUAAGGAAGCAAUGGCGGGAAACGAGAAGCCCUAGUCCAUGAAAGUGUCUGGCGGCUGGGAUGCAAGUCAAUAAAAGGGCCUCAGGUUGAAACAGCCGUCCCUGAAAUUGCGGUGCCAGUUACGCUACAAUUCCCAAAUGGCCGCAGAGUGCAGGUGCAGGCUCUCAUAGGCUCAGGGGCCUCCCUGGACUUUCUGGACUCAGACUUUGUGGAGCAGCAGACAGCGGCUGGAAGCCCCUCUAGAGGUGCAAACCAUUGAUGGCAGGCUGUUGGUGUUGGGACAAGUUACUUAUGCUACACAGCCCAUGGGGGUAGAAUUGCUGGGCCACAAGGAAACAAUGAUGUUCCACGUCACAAAGCUGGCCACAUACCCUCCAGUUUUGGGAAUGAAGUGGCUCACAAAGCACGAUCCUGUGAUAGCGUGGGGGCAGCGUUUCAUAAUGUUUGUUUCAGCAUACUGCCAAGCACACUGCCUAGGGUUCAGAGUGCCAAAAGAGGUAGGAGCCAAAGGGACAGAGGUAAGAGGGAAACUCACAGGAGAGUAGAGUAGUCCUGGGCCCUAAGGAAGUUACGAUUAGCUUCAACCAGAGCCAGGGCCUUUUCAACUCUGGCUCCGACCUGGUGGAACGCUCUGCCUCAUGAGACCAGGGCCCUGCAGGAUCUGAUUUCUUUCCUCAGGGCCUGUUAGACAGAGUUGUUCCGCCUGGCCUUUGGCUUGGAGCCAAAUUGAUUCCCUCCCUCCCUCUCUUUCUUUUUUCUUUUCCUUCUCCUCCUGCGAUGAGGCAUUUUAAUAUUUUAAUGUUUCAAUAUUUUAAUGUUGUAUUUUAAUUUUGUUUUAAGUUGUAAUCAUUCAACUUGUUUUUAUUAUUGCUUGUUAGCCGCCCUGAGCCCGGCCUUGGCUGGGGAGGGCAGGGUAUAAAUAAAAAAUUAUUAUUAUUAUUAUUAUUUUAUUUAUUACAUCCCUGCAGUAUAAGGCCUAUAGAGACGUGUUCUGUGAAAAGGAGGCAGAUAGGCUACCUCUCCACAGGCCUUACAACUGCAAGAUAGACCGGCUGCCUGGUGCCCAGAUGCCCACCAGAUAUGUCGGAGGCAGAAUUGGCCGAUUUGAGGGAGUUCCUGAAGAAGAACUUGGAACGCAGGUUUAUUAGGCCGUCCCAAGCGCCUGGAGGGUCCCCAGUCUUCUUUGUGAAUAAGAGGGACCCCCCAGAAUGCAGGCUAGUUGUGGACUUUAGAAAGGUCAACAGGGUCUCUCAAAUUACAGCAGGGCGUUGAGGAAGUUAGCAGCUCUGAGAAAGGAGAACAGCAAAGUUAUGCAGUGUUGGGAGAAGGGGAAGCAGAGCAGCAAGGUGACACGUCAUUGGACAGCAUAACCAGCCCCCCUUCUCCCAAAACGCGGCGUUCAAUAAGGGUCCGAGAACAAAGAGCUCAAAGGCAAUUGUCCACUGACAGACGCCAUAGAAGCAAAUGCUGUUGCUAGAGGGGGAAGGGGGAGGAGUGAAGUGGAAGCAACUCCGUUAUGGAGGAACAACCAGAAUACCUUGUCUUUACCAUGUUGUUUUUUUAAAAAUGUAUUUUUAUUAAAGAUUUUCUUGGUUUACAAAA